CGCCUCCCUCCGCCGCCACUCACGACUACCGUACGGGACGGCGAGCAGGUGGGAAGUCGUUGCGCAAUGGACCGAAGGCGUGACGCAGCGACGCCGCGUGGGGAGGAAGGCGUUCGGUUCGUAACCCUGUUCGCCCGGGACAAAGUGUGCACUUUGAGUGCAUUGACGGUACCGGGUGAGGAAGCACCGGCUAACUCCGUGCCAGCAGCCGCGGUAAUAC
rnacentral:rRNA from 1 species